GCGAAAACUUUACAAUGCUGGCAACAGCGAUAAGGGAACCCCGAGUGCCAGGUUACAAAUCUGGCUGUCGAGAUGCCUAAAAAGCAUUUCAUAGCAAGGGCCGGGCAAGACCGGUGCCAGCCGCCGCGGUAACACCGGCGGCUCAAGUGGUAACCGUUAUUAUUGGGUCUAAAGGGUCUGUAGCCGGCCGGAUAAGUCUCUUGAGAAAUCUGGCAGCUUAACUGUCAGGCUUUCAGGAGAUACUGUCUGGCUCGAGGCCGGGAGAGGUGAGAGGUACUUCAGGGGUAGGGGUGAAAUCUUGUAAUCCUUGAAGGACCACCAGUGGCGAAGGCGUCUCACCAGAACGGACCUGACGGCAAGGGACGAAAGCUAGGGGCACGAACC
rnacentral:rRNA from 1 species